rnacentral:ncRNA from 1 species
GCUUUCAUUGAUCGCGCCGGUGCCCCCCGAAAGGGGCUUAAUCGGGAAUGCGGUGCGGAGGGGUUUCCUCCAAAUCCGCGGCUGUCCCUGCAACUGUAAGCGGAUAGCGCGAUGCACAUCGCUCCUCCUUGAAGGGGCAGCCACUGGGCCGGACGCUAAAUCAUGCGAGGCCUGGGAAGGCGUGCAUCAAGCUGUGACCCGCGAGCCAGGAGACCUGCCGGCGUCUGGUCGCUCUU